GGGCAGUAGGGAGCUGCCUAUAGGAGCAGAGCUAUAGCAGGCUGGGUAACCAGAUGCCUAGUCUGGGGGAGAACAUCAUGAUGUCUUCAGCCUGGAAGUUAGGAUUCAGAGUUAGGGCGUCCUAUUGAAGAGGUGGCUACUUAAAGGCACUCAGUGGCUUCUUAGGACAGAAAAUCCUGACCCUGUAGUUGGGUGGAGCCCAACGGGUACUACUUCUGGCCAAUGAGUUGUGAGGGAGAAAUAAAGCAUGAAAGAUCCUGGCUGGCAAAUUGAAUUGCUGACACAAGAUCCUCCAAAGCUCCUUACUUCUGCCACUCCCAUUGGCUGAACCCAACUGGAGGUCUUAGAUGCAAAAGCAGCCUCGAAGACACAGAGCAAUAUUCCAGAGGGUGGGCCUUCAGCCUAAAUCCAGUAUAAGGACGAUCCAGAACAAAGAACCAGCUUGAUUCACAACAGACACCUAAUAUGAGUGAGAAAUUAUCCUAUAAUACUUUCCCUGAUAUUUAGGAGAUAGUCUGGCACUGCAGCAAAAGUUAGUUUUUCCUGAUUCAUACAAAGGUAGGUAUUGAUUCUUGGGACAACGAAUUUACAGAUUAUGACUCUAUAGAUUAUGUAAAUCUCUUUUCAGAUUAUGACUCAAGAGUUAAAAUUGGCUGUUUCCAUUCCCUAGGUGAGUGUGGGGUGGAGAGGCUUAUAUAAUUUUGUGGACAAAGAUAUUUAUAAAAUGGACUACAGCUCUCACAGCUACAGUCAGUAGCUCUUGUAUUUUACUCUGAUAUUUUCAAUGACUAUAUCACCAUGAGAAAUGCAGUUGAUUUGGAUCUGAAAUUUCUUUUAAAGAUGCUCCCCAUUUGAAGAUACAGUACAAUCAAUGUGGGCAUCAGCACUGAAUGAAUAUGACUUGGGCUGUUUGCCUAUUUCUUUUGUAGUAGCUCUAUCCAAGAGAUGUCCUUCCACACAGAGACAAAAUGAAAGGAUGUCUCAAGGUGAAAGCAUCCAUCCUCCUCAGCUAGAGUACAGAUGAAGUACAUUUCUAUCCAGUAUAAGUGCUCUCUGAAAGCUUUACUGUCGCUUCAUCUCUAUUCAUGAGAACUUUAAGAGACAAAUUCUGGAAAGAAAAUGUCUUUCUUUAUGUUGGCUUCCUUAAGGCUCAAAGACUUGUUGGAAUGCAGGACAGAAUAAAUAGCAUUUCAAAUACUACAUCUGUACGUGGGGGCAGGAAAAAGGAUUUUAUUCCCCCAUGAAUUGUCAUAGAAGGAAAUGAAGAUUGCUAAAAACAUAUAUUCUAUGAAACUAUGACAGAAAAGAAAAAACAAUACUUUCAUUUUUCCAGAUUUUAUCAUUGUAAUUCUUCCAUGAAUGCUAUUAUACUGAGAUCCCUGCAGAAAUGACAUAAUUGGCCAAUGUAUUUGAGGUGUGGGUGGCAUAAUUUUAUAGACAUUAUUAUGGUUAGUGCUGUGAAAUAAUUUAGUUGUUGCCUUUCUUUUAUUUUCCUCUUUCAGUGUGUUUUAGCUCAUAACAAACUCUUUGAAACCUGUACAAUCAGGGGAAAUGAAUAUAAUAUGACUGGGAAAUUACAAAUGAAAUUUGCAAGAGAUGGGCAUUGAUUUAUCCAAGCAAAAUUGAUUUAUUCAUCCUUUUAGUGUUUUCUGGGAUAAGAAUUAAAGGUAUUUCCUGAGGUGAUAACUAUUCUUGUUAGACUUCAAAAGAUGCCAUGGAAAUGACUAGUGAGAAAGAUGAACAAGCAAAUGGAUUAGAAUAUACUGUGCAAGAUUAGAACUGUACUAAAGAUAAACCUGCUUACUAUGUUGGAAGUAAGGGAGAGGGAAUGCUAAGAAUGUGUGGUCAAGGCAUCUUGACUUCUGCUAUUACAAAUACACUCCAUCAUGACUGACGAGCAAGAGGAAACAGGUAAUCAAAGGCAGUGGACACUGAGUCUGCAUGCUAUCAUCUGAGGUUGCAUCUGGUCGUUCUGUUCUUGAAUGUUGCACACUGGCUUCCUUGUCCAACGGUGACCUUCAGCUUGUCUAAACUUGACUUUCAGUAUAAUGCUCUGACAUCUUCUGCUGGUGACCAUAAUUGCUGUCAUGACCUCUGUGAGACAUUACAGUUGGUCGUCAAUAGCUGAAUCCCCUUGAUGUCUGAGUUCUUGCAGGAACACAUUUUCUCACCAUUAGUGAAGUAUUGACUGUGAAGCCAACGAAAUUUAAGCUUCAAGGCCUGUAUUAGUUUAUAGUGACAUACGCUUGACUCUCCCUUUGUCAUACAUUGUGCCAAAUGGCAUUACAACACCAAAUAAAUUUGAUAACAGGUUUUCCUACAUUUGACAACAGUCCAAAAAAAUUACAGGAUAUUUUUACAUGAAUGACAAGCCAACCUUAAUUAAAUUAUUCUAAACUAUCAAUAAAAAUAAAUUUUCAGUCAUGCGAGAAGACUAAAUUAUCUUUUUAUUUUCCCUGUAGAAGAUACUAUAAAAUUGUUAUCAAAU
ensembl:lncRNA